GCCGUCGUAGCACAAUGGUAGUGCGUUGCUUUCCUAUCUUCGGAUAAGGCAGAGGUUGCGGGUUCGAUCCCCGUCGUCGGUU